UACCAGCUCUCCGAGUGGUAGGGAUGAUUAUUGGGCUUAAAGCGUCCGUAGCCGGCCUAGCAAGUCUUCCGUUAAAUCCACCGAUUCAAUCGUUGGACUGCGGGAGAUACUGUUGGGCUAGGGGGCGGGAGAGGCCGACGGUAUUCUCGGGGUAGGGGUAAAAUCCUAUAAUCCCGGGAGGACCACCAGUGGCGAAGGCGGUCGGCUAGAACGCGCUCGACGGUGAGGGACGAAAGCUGGGGGAGCGAACCGGAUUAGAUACCCGGGUAGUCCCAGCUGUAAACGAUGCGGGCUAGGUGUUGGGGCGGCUACGGGCCGCUUCAGUGCCGCAGGGAAACCAUUAAGCCCGCCGCCUGGGGAGUACGGCCGCAAGGCUGAAACUUAA
rnacentral:rRNA from 1 species